rnacentral:rRNA from 1 species
CUACGGGUCGCUCCAGUAAGGAAUAUUGCGCAAUGGAGGCAACUCUGACGCAGCCAUGCCGCGUGCAGGAAGAAGGCCUUAUGGGUCGUAAACUGCUUUUAUUUAGGAAUAAACCCCCGAACGUGUUCGGGGCUGAAGGUACUAAACGAAUAAGCACCGGCUAACUCCGUGCCAGCAGCCGCGGUAAUACGGAGGGUGCAAGCGUUAUCCGGAUUUAUUGGGUUUCAAGGGUGCGCAGGCGGGCUAUUAAGUCAGUGGUGAAAUCCCGGGGCUCAACUCCGGAACUGCCAUUGAUACUGAUAGUCUUGAGUUUGGUUGAAGUGGGCGGAAUGUAGCAUGUAGCGGUGAAAUGCAUAGAUAUGCUACAGAACACCAAUCGCGAAGGCAGCUCACUAAGCCAAAACUGACGCUCAUGCACGAAAGCGUGGGGAUCAAACAGGAUUAGAUACCCUCGUAGUC